AACGAACGCUGGCGGCGUGCCUAACACAUGCAAGUCGAACGGGGAUAAGUAGCUUGCUAUUUAUUCUAGUGGCGCACGGGUGAGUAACGCGUAGAUAAUCUGCCUUAGACUCUGGGAUAACAUCUCGAAAGGUGUGCUAAUACCGGAUAAGCCCACGAGGACGUGAGUUCUUGCGGGAAAAGGGGGCCUCUGCAUAUGCUCUUGAUCUAAGUUGAGUCUGCGUACCAUUGGCUUGUUGGUAGGGUAAUGGCCUACCAAGGCGACGAUGGUUAGCUGGGCUGAGAGGAUGAUCAGCCACACUUGGACAGAGACACGGUCCAGAAGCCUACGGGAGGCAGCAGUGGGGAAUUUUGCGCAAUGGGGGAAACCCUGACGCAGCAAGGCCGCGUGAGUGAUGAAGGCUUUCGGGUCGUAAAGCUCUGUCUAGAGGGAAGAAGUGAUAUUUGGUUAAUACCCAGAUUUCUUGACGGUACCUCUGAAGGAAGCACCGGCUAACUCCGUGCCAGCCGCCGCCGUAA
rnacentral:rRNA from 1 species